UUGGUGUUACGCACGCCUCUAGGAAGAGGGAACGCAACACCCUGCUACAACUCAACUCCCCGUGGAGUGAAAGAGGUAUGGGACUGUAGGUGCAAGUAAGGAUGACAACGGCAGAGAAUUAACCUUUUACAGGAAAUUUAUUCAGUCACACGGUAAUUUUGGAAAAAGGGGCUGGACGGAACCAAAGCGGAGAAAGUUCAAGUUAAAGAUCCCCCUCUCCUACUUUACCUACCCACAACUUACCUAACAGGCAGCACCUGGCGCACCAACCAAAAUACAGGGGAUGGUCCAGACGGGUCUUACCAAGUGAGCAUAGACAAAGUACAUACUCGGGUAUAUUUAUGCCCGCAGGUCGCUUGCCUAAGCACUCCCUUCCCCCCUGGGAACAAAUUAAAACGAAUACAAACAUAAGUAAACCAUUUCAAUAAUCAAAAACACUGCGUCCUAUGGGGACCUGUCUCUGAGCAACAACCAACACAGAACAUAACCAUCAGCUCUCUCUCCUAACAAACGAACACUGGCUUUUAAAGCUUCAGAAGGAGUCGAUAAUUGAAGACAGCUGUAUCUCCUGAUUAGAGGGCGGGGUCAGAUCUCCAAUCAUUGAUGGGGCCUGAAACACACAUCCAAUCAAAACCACAACGCAGAAACUGGGGAACAUAACAAUUUGUUUGUUUCAGUGUGUUGUUCCACUCUCUUUACCAUCUGACACUUUGUCCCUGUUGAUCUACAUACCUACCCUGCUUCUGGAGACCCGGGGAGUCUCCUGACCAGAGGGCUUUGACUCCCCAGGAACGUCUUCACCGCUGGGUUGUCCCAAUCCUGUUGGUCUGAGACCACUGAUGUCUACUCUCUUAAUAGGAACGAGGAGCUCUAAAGUAGCUGAAACCACCUCUCGGAUUGGGUAUUGCCUCACUUGAAAGCCUGGAGCCAAUCGUUCCAGUCUGGUUAUAAUCACUAUGACAACCCUGGAUACCUGUCAGUUACGAGUUCUACCUCUGUCUCGUGUGCUAGUUUGCCUAAUUUGUCUAAUUUGCUUGAUUUUGCAUUGGAUUGGUUUGUUUGAGUAUUGGUCCACUCUCUUUACCAUCUGUCACGUUAUCCUUGUUGAUCCACAAAGUCACCCUGUGUCUGGACUCCUAACUCCAGCAGAGCAGGGAGCCCCAAGCAGUCCAACAGCUCCAGGGAGACUCUUAACCAGAGGACUUGGACUCCCCAGGACUGUCCCCAUUGCUUUUUAACUCCUGAGGAUGAUGUGUUGUACUAGUUAAAUAAAAUGUAACAUGUGAACAACCACCAGGUUCUUCCUGGAGUCCCGGGACAUUCCCCGCCGCUCUGCAACUCAUGUGGACAAUGAAGAGGCCCAGGACUUCAGAUGGGCUUUGCUUCUCCAGUUGAGAUCUCUGGAGAAGAGUUGAGUCUCAGUCCAACAAUAGGAAGAAGUGCCACUGCCUGGGGUGUGACGCAGAGGACUGCCCUGCCAGGAAGAGAGCCAUGAAUGAAUGUCCAAUUGGCUCUCAUGGGGCCAUGAGGCACAUUAAUAGAAAAACAAAAUAGGCACGAGUAUAGAGCUGGGCCACAGUACAACUAGACGUUCAUAAUAAAAUAUUGUGACAUGUUUUCCCUUUGAUUUCUGCCUGAGAAAUGCCAUCCAAUACAAUAACUACAACACCUCAAUCCAAUGCAGGAUUAUCUUAAUAAAAAGGUCAAUGUUUUUUCUAUUAAACUACAAAAAUGAUUUUUGACUAGGCAUAACUACACAAUACUGUUCAAAUGAUAUAAUAAUUUAUCUUUAUUUUGUCUGAUGAAUAAAGGUUUGAUAUGUGUGUGUAUCAGGAUUUGGGAGUAACUCAUUUCAUGUAAUCCAGUUACAUGUAAUCUGAUGUUUUU